GUUAACGCGAUAAGUGCCCCGCCUGGGGAUUACGUUCGCAAGGCUGAAACUCAAAGGAAUUGACGGGGCCCCGCACAAGCGGUGGAGCAUGUGGUUUAAUUCGACGCAACGCGAAGAACCUUACCUGGGCUUGAACUGCUGGGUUUAGCUUCCUGAAAGGGAAGUGAACCUGCUUGCAGGAGACCAGCAGAGGUUGCUGCAUGGCUGUCGUCAGCUCGUGUCGUGAGAUGUUGGGUUAAGUCCCGCAACGAGCGCAACCCUUGCCUUUAGUUGCCAGCGAGUCAUGUCGGGUACUCUAAGGGGACUGCCACGGAUAACGUGGAGGAAGGUGGGGAUGACGUCAAGUCAGCAUGGCCUUUAUGUCCAGGGCGACACACGUGCUACAAUGGUCGGCACAAAGGGACGCGAAACCGCAAGGUGGAGCUAAUCUUCAAAGCUGCUCUCAGUUCGGAUCGCAGGCUGCAAUUCGCCUGCGUGAAGUUGGAAUCGCUAGUAAUCGCGGAUCAGCCUCGCCGCGGUGAAUACGUUCUCGGGCCUUGUACACACCGCCCGUCACAUCACGAAAGUUGGUUAUACCCGAAGUCGCCGGGCUAACCUUUGGAGGCAGGCGCCGAAGGUAUGAUCGAUGA
rnacentral:rRNA from 1 species